GACUCUGGUGGGAUAUUAUCGUUACAUACUUCGGGUGUGUAUAUGAUGAUAUUCGCGAAACGUUAUUUAUGCUGCGUUUCUCUCGACCUUACCCUGGCCUAGAUGACACCGUGAGUGGGGAGGAAUGAUCAUUAUUACAGGUACAGUUGGUGACUUGUUGGUGACUUGUUGGUGACUUGUGAUCCUGUUGGUGACUAUUGGUUCAGAAGUUUGGGGUCUCAGAUGACUUUGGGUUUCAGAUGAAUUUGUGGUUCCGAGUUCAAGCCGAAGCUUUGAUCCUGUGUUCCGAGAGACACAGCCAACCAGUCUUGUCUGCAUCAUUUGCAUCAUAACAUGUUUAUUUUCAAAAAAAAUACGCAAUAAAAAAAAAGAGAAGGAAAAAAAAAGAAAAAAAAA
rnacentral:lncRNA from 1 species